CUUUAACAAUCCGGAACAAGCUGAAAUUUGAAACGAUGCGGCGACGAUAAUCUUUAUUGACGAUGUUGUCGUGUCAGAGUCUCUCAAAAAUCGCAGCGCGAAGCGUUCUCUGCAAGAGGACUAGCGA
rnacentral:sRNA from 1 species